rnacentral:rRNA from 1 species
UGGGGAAUAUUGGGCAAUGGGCGAAAGCCUGACCCAGCAACGCCGCGUGAGGGAAGAAGGUUUUCGGAUUGUAAACCUCUGUCCUUGGGGACGAAGAAAGUGACGGUACCCAAGGAGGAAGCCCCGGCUAACUACGUGCCAGCAGCCGCGGUAAUACGUAGGGGGCUAGCGUUAUCCGGAAUUACUGGGCGUAAAGGGUGCGUAGGUGGUUUCUUAAGUCAGAGGUGAAAGGCUAUGGCUCAACCGUAGUAAGCCUUUGAAACUGGGAAACUUGAGUGCAGGAGAUGAGAGUGGCAUUCCUAGUGUAGCGGUGAAAUGCGUAGAUAUUAGGAGGAACACCAGUUGCGAAGGCGGCUCUCUGGACUGUAACUGACACUGAGGCACGAAAGCGUGGGGAGCAAACA